AGAAAAGUUACCACAGGGAUAA
rnacentral:snRNA from 1 species